rnacentral:rRNA from 1 species
GAUGAACGCUGGCGGCGUGCCUAAUACAUGCAAGUCGAGCGAACAGACGAGGAGCUUGCUCCUCUGACGUUAGCGGCGGACGGGUGAGUAACACGUGGAUAACCUACCUAUAAGACUGGGAUAACUUCGGGAAACCGGAGCUAAUACCGGAUAAUAUAUUGAACCGCAUGGUUCAAUAGUGAAAGACGGUUUUGCUGUCACUUAUAGAUGGAUCCGCGCCGCAUUAGCUAGUUGGUAAGGUAACGGCUUACCAAGGCAACGAUGCGUAGCCGACCUGAGAGGGUGAUCGGCCACCCUGGAACUGAGACAGGGUCAAGACUCCUAAGGGAGGCAGCAGUAGGGAAUCUUCCGCAAUGGGCGAAAGCCUGACGGAGCAACGCCGCGUGAGUGAUGAAGGUCUUCGGAGCGUAAAACUCUGUUAUGAGGGAAGAACAAAUGUGUAAGUAACUAUGCACGUCUUGACGGUACCUAAUCAGAAAGCCACGGCUAACUACGUG